rnacentral:rRNA from 1 species
GAUGAACGCUGGCGGCGUGCCUAAUACAUGCAAGUCGAGCGAACGGACGAGAAGCUUGCUUUUCUGAUGUUAGCGGCGGACGGGUGAGUAACACGUGGAUAACCUACCUAUAAUACUGGGAUAACUUCGGGAAACCGGAGCUAAUACCGGAUAAUAUUUUGAACCGCAUGGUUCAAAAGUGAAAGACGGUCUUGCUGUCACUUAUAGAUGGAUCCGCGCUGCAUUAGCUAGUUGGUAAGGUAACGGCUUACCAAGGCAACGAUGCAUAGCCGACCUGAGAGGGUGAUCGGCCACACUGGAACUGAGACACGGUCCAGACUCCUACGGGAGGCAGCAGUAGGGAAUCUUCCGCAAUGGGCGAAAGCCUGACGGAGCAACGCCGCGUGAGUGAUGAAGGUCUUCGGAUCGUAAAACUCUGUUAUUAGGGAAGAACAUAUGUGUAAGUAACUGUGCACAUCUUGACGGUACCUAAUCAGAAAGCCACGGCUAACUACGUG